rnacentral:rRNA from 1 species
AUUGAACGCUGGCGGCAUGCCUUACACAUGCAAGUCGAACGGUAACAGGGAGCUUGCUCCGCUGACGAGUGGCGAACGGGUGAGUAAUGUAUCGGAACGUACCUUUUAGUGGGGGAUAACGUAGCGAAAGUUACGCUAAUACCGCAUAUUCUCUGAGGAGGAAAGCAGGGGACCUUCGGGCCUUGCGCUAAUAGAGCGGCUGAUAUCAGAUUAGCUAGUUGGUGAGGUAAAGGCUCACCAAGGCGACGAUCUGUAGCGGGUCUGAGAGGAUGAUCCGCCACACUGGAACUGCGACACGGUCCAGACUCCUACGGGAGGCAGCAGUGGGGAACUUUGGACAAUGGGGGCAACCCUGAUCCAGCCAUGCCGCGUGAGUGAAGAAGGCCUUCGGGUUGUAAAGCUCUUUCGGCCGGGAAAAAAUCGCAUGGGUUAAUACCCUGUGUGGAUGAUGGUACCGGAAUAAGAAGCACCGGCUAACUACGUGCCAGCAGCCGCAGUAAUAC